CCGGCAAUAGCUCAGUUGGUAGAGCGGGAGACUGUAGUUUAUCUCUAGGUCGCUAGUUCAAAUCUGGCUUGCCGG
rnacentral:tRNA from 1 species